rnacentral:rRNA from 1 species
CAGUCGCCACGGGAAUACGUAGGUGGCAGGCGUUGUCCGGAAUUAUUGGGCGUAAAGCGCGCGCAGGUGGUUUAAUAAGUCUGAUGUGAAAGCCCACGGCUCAACCGUGGAGGGUCAUUGGAAACUGUUAAACUUGAGUGCAGGAGAGAAAAGUGGAAUUCCUAGUGUAGCGGUGAAAUGCGUAGAGAUUAGGAGGAACACCAGUGGCGAAGGCGGCUUUUUGGCCUGUAACUGACACUGAGGCGCGAAAGCGUGGGGAGCAAACAGGAUUAGAUACCCCCGUAGUCCCUGUCUCUUAUAC